rfam:Anolis carolinensis unplaced genomic scaffold chrTn0078, whole genome shotgun sequence.
UGGUGUUGCUAGACCACAACCAACAACAGCUAGAGGACCAGACUUUUCCAGGGUUGAUUCAGCUGAUCUAACUGUCUAGGCGGGUGUCUCCUUCCUUCCUCACCGCCCCAUGUGUUUCCCUCCUGAUGCUGCGCACUUGGUGGAAGAGGACGAUGUCCCAGGUAUAGAAGGAGUGUACUGAGGUCUCCAGUCUUCGGUACUGGGUAUAUGAUAACUGCGCUUCCCUGCUAGGACAUCCAAACAAGCUGAACUUGUGAAGAAAAUUUCAUCAUGCAAUUAACACUUAUAAGGAUGAUGGAUUUAAAAAAUAUUUUAAUCUGUGGAU